UCCGGUUGAUCUGCCGGACCUGACUGCUAUCGGAUUGAUACUAAGCCAUGCGAGUCAUUGUAGCAAUACAAGGCAGACGGCUCAGUAACGCGUAGUCAACCUAACCUAUGGACGGGAAUAACCUCGGGAAACUGAGAAUAAUGCCCGAUAGAACACUAUACCUGGAAUGGUUUGUGUUCCAAAUGAUUUAUCGCCGUAGGAUGGGACUGCGGCCUAUCAGUUUGUUGGUGAGGUAAUGGCCCACCAAGACUAUUACAGGUACGGGCUCUGAGAGGAGUAGCCCGGAGAUGGGUACUGAGACACGGACCCAGGCCCUAUGGGGCGCAGCAGGCGAGAAAACUUUGCAAUGUGCGAAAGCACGACAAGGUUAAUCCGAGUGGUUUGUGCUAAACGAACCUUUUGUCGGUCCUAGAAACACCGAUGAAUAAGGGGUGGGCAAGUUCUGGUGUCAGCCGCCGCGGUAAAACCAGC
rnacentral:rRNA from 1 species